rnacentral:lncRNA from 1 species
GCAGAUCAUCAUGAUCGCGUGGAGUCAACAGAUAAUCAACCAGCUUUGGAUCGCCUUGAAAAGAGUCUAAAAACGGCUUGAGUUGGACAUACCUCUCAAUCAUGUCUAGGACACAAGAUUAGAACUUUGUAAUAAAGAUGUCAAGUUUGGCUGUUUUAGAAAAUCCAGCAAGUGCUUGGUUCAAAUCUUGCCAGAUUAAUGAAAUUCAGUCUGAAGCAUUACUUUCCAUAUUGACAAUGAUAGGAUUAAAACAAUGUCAUCUCAAUAGCAAGAAUUAAAGUUAGAAAAAAGUGCUCAGACUUAAUCCUAUAAUGCAUCCUGUCCAGCAAGUACUCUUUCUGCUAAUAACAUCAAUCUUUAGUUAAGAUCUAUUGUCAAGUAAUGA